UUGGAACUGCUUCUUGCAUGAGCUGUUUCGGAUAUUUCGUCUUCUGGCCUGGCUUAUUUCGUUUCGGCGCUGCUGAGACCUCCUUUCGCGGAAUAUUACUCAAUGACAGUGUGCGAAGAACGCGAGUUCACCUUCUUGACGAAAAUCGUGGACUAACAGUUUGAAGUCAUUGAACUACUUCCAAAAGUUGUAUCGACAUCAACAGGAUUACGAUUUCAGUGCAAUAUGAUGCUGGAUGAUCUUAUCACGAUAACCCAUGA